CCUCGUAUCUUCUCCUCCUCCCCAAUGGCGGCGCCGCGCCGCCUCUUUUCCUCCUCCCCAAUGGUGGCGCGCUUCCUCUCCCUCCAACCUGUGCAGAGGCGGCCGGGGACGGAGGCGGCCAAGCUAGGAGCUGGAGGCGUGGCUAUAGGGAGUCGGCGCGCCGGCGUGGGGCGAGAUCGAGGAGGAGCUUAAGGAGGACAUUCAUGGCGCGUCCGUCACGGCGGGCGAGCACGAGUUCGAGGAGACGCAGGACGAGCACGAAGGCGGCACCGUGAUGAGUUGCUAGCGGAGAUCGGGCAGAGGAGGAUCGGAGCACCAUGGGGAGCCGGAGGAGGAUCUGGUGGCGCACUGGAGGAGGACGGCGGCGUGCGCUCGAGGCAGGGGCAGAGGUGGGUGGAGGUUGUGGAUAGGAGGUCGGUGGUGAUUCGAGGUCAACGAAUAGCAACUUUGCUUCUCCAUCCCCUCCCCGUCUCUUCCUCUCUAUCUCUCUCUACUCUCAAUCUAUUUUCUCCUGGCUGUAGGGAACGAAGGAGGAGGGGUGUGCCAUGUGAGGGCAGUCUGGUUCGCCGAUCCCGGCAGGCAGCGUGCUUCUCCUAGAAACCAUGGCGUUGGGGACGGAGCAGCACCCGCUUGAUGUGACCACGUGCACGCCCCUGAGGGCGAGCAAAGACCGAUUUCUAUGAUGCCAAGGUUGUGCAUGAAAACAAUUUGUAUUUAUGCUCCGAGUGGAUGAGAUGUGUCUCUAAAUUGUGGAUUAUUGGGGCACAGAUCUGGAUUUGUCAGAACACAUUGUAUGCCAGUAAUCACUGAUUGGCUGUAUGGCCGGCUGCUUCAUCCGUAUCGAGGAGAAAAGCUUGAUAGCCUAAUAGAUCUAGGGCCGGAAAGGAAGAUAUCAGAUCAAUACAUCGUAGAGGAAUUUGGGAAAAGGCAGCGGUAAGUUAUUCUCCAUGUCCUCCUUUGUAUAACAUCAACAUCUGUGAUAUAACCAGUCUGCAUGUCUCUGCUGAAUUUACUUAUUUAGUUAUUUGUUUUUUGUUCUUAGAUUUGUAUCUACUGACGAGAAAAGGUAAGCAAGUAAUAUUUUACAGGUAAGCAAUUGGUUUGAUCGUGUUGGGAAAGUAUUGGUCAAAAAGAAUAUGAAUGACAGCACAAGAAAAGGUGACCAUGACAUUGAGAAACACAUUUUUCAAGUCUGCCUACUUGGCGAGCGCAACGGCAGCCGUACCGCCAUCGCCUGACACCCUCAAUAUUGGUUGGAUAUGCUCUAUGUAGAGGUCUCUCAAGAAGCAGUAUGUCGCUGAUGGUGUUCAUGAAGUGACUCCUAAUAGUGAGCAAGACGGCAAAUCUGAUCUCAGAGAAGCUGAAUAACAAAGGAGCAAGUGGAGAAGGUUCUCAAGGCUGGUGCUAACGUUGUAUUUAGCACCAAAGGGAAUCAAUGAUAUGUUAUUGAGAAGGUUGUAGCAAUUGAUAUACAGUCUAGCCUGCAGUGAUUUGUCUUCCCAUGUCUUUGUAAUCUCAAUUUUGUAAAGUAGUGUCCAUCCUGGUUCUGGUGAGCUUAUUUGGGCAAUUAUCGAAGUCUGGUUCUCAUAUAUUGGUUCUGAGAAUUAUUCACCUACUAUGGCUGCCAACAGGUAGUGUUGAUCCUGGUUCUGGGAAUUGAUUUGGCAACUUUUGAAGUUUGGUUCUCAUAUAUUGGUCCUGAAAGAUUUUUUUUUGCAAGUGGCCAAUUGAUGUUACGCUUAUUUGAAAGCCAAGCCCGUUUUCUUUCGGAGCGUCGAGAGCGGAUGGAUAAGAAGGUGUUCAGUACAUGGGAUUGGAGAAAUAAGAAGAGAUGUAAUAUUCCUACAGGUAA